CUUAGAUUCAAGAAAAAAGAGUCUCUGGCCUCCCUUACCUGAAACACAUGUACACACAAAACUGCCCUUAUAGCCAAAGGCUGACUGGUGAUGAACCCAGCAUGACUGUGUUUUCUGAUUAUGGUACCUGCAGGAAAUGGCUUUUAUUUGGAAGUCCACUUGCCCCAUUUCUCUAAGUAACCUCUGAUGCUUCUCCCUGCUGUGGCUGCCAACUUGGAUACUUUUACAGCCUUUUACUGAUUUUUAUUCUAAAGUAAACAACGAGUUUUCUUUCCAGUACAGGAGUGAAACAAUUUUAGGAAAUAUUAUGACCUGACUAAAAGGACACUGCCAUAUAAUAAUCAUUCUAGUAAAAGUAACAGAAAGGUUGGCAAUGAAGAAUAAGAUAGAGAGCAAGGAAUGGAGAAGACCAAUGACAUCUGGGCUGAUAUCUUGACUUGCGAGGCUGAGUUGCAUAAAGUUGUCAGUUUCUCUGUCUUCCAUAUAUCAUCAAAAUCAAGGGAACACUCUCAUGAGAAGACUUUAAAAGAAAUGAUGUGAAUAUCUCCAUAUCUCAAAAUCAGAAUUGGAAGAGACCUUAGAUAUAACAUUACAGAUGAAAAACUGAAAAUACAGAGAAGGUAAGCAAAUAUUAAACGGUGCACUGAGAUUCAAACUCAGGUUUUCUUUAAAUGAAGUAAGAAUUAAAGAAGCAACUGCAUCUUAAAAAGUGGUCUCAUACUCAAAUAGAAAUGCGGGCCACUAAAUUAUAUAUAAUAUGUAGUAUAUGUA
rnacentral:lncRNA from 1 species